rnacentral:rRNA from 1 species
AUUGAACGCUGGCGGCAGGCCUAACACAUGCAAGUCGAGCGGAUGAAGGCAGCUUGCUCCUGGAUUCAGCGGCGGACGGGUACGUAAUGCCUAGGAGUCUGCCUGGUAGUGGGGGAUAACGUCCGAAAACGGGCGCUAAUACCGCAUACGUCCUAAGGGAGAAAGUGGGGGAUCUUCGGACCUCACGCUAUCAGAUGAGCCUACGUCGGAUUAGCUAGUUGGUGGGGUAAAGGCCUACCAAGGCGACGAUCCGUAACUGGUCUGAGAGGAUGAUCAGUCACACUGGAACUGAGACACGGUCCAGACUCCUACGGGAGGCAGCAGUGGGGAAUAUUGGACAAUGGGCGAAAGCCUGAUCCAGCCAUGCCGCGUGUGUGAAGAAGGUCUUCGGAUUGUAAAGCACUUUAAGUUGGGAGGAAGGGCAGUAAGUUAAUACCUUGCUGUUUUGACGUUACCAACAGAAUAAGCACCGGCUAACUUCGUG